UAAUGAUAAAGGCAAACUUAUCGAAAGGUAAGGACGCAAAGCCACGGGUCUAAGAUUGGUUAAAUUAUGAUAGCCGGGCUGCCAAA
rnacentral:ncRNA from 1 species